rnacentral:lncRNA from 1 species
GGCGGGCGCCGCGACCGCAGCGCGGAGUUCCGGGGCGCGAAAGGAACGGCCAAAGUGCGGACUCAGCGGUUUUAUUGACAGCGGCGCUGAGGGCUGAACUCACGGUCGCGUCUCUCGGAGCACGAGGAGCGCAGGAACACGCUUUGUCAGAGCAGCUGAAAUGUCUUCUCUCCCUUCAAGCCCUGGCUAAAGCCUCCCAGCCCGAGACUGAAAGUAGAACGAAGCACAAAGCAAAAUGAAGGCAUGAAAAGGAAGCUUUCAGCUUGGCUACCCUCCUUUCAUUCAGCCGCACCACCCAGAUGAAAACCAAUACUUCAGAGAAGUCUGUUUGGGCUUCUAGGCACAACUGAUAAGAUUUAGGGAAAGAGCCAACUGUUUACUUCCACAGUAAAUCUAAUAAUCUGUCUGACCUGACGGAUUAUUCCCCAUGGCCUAAAUGCAUUCCCUAACACAGUGAUCCCCCAAGGAACAGAGCACCUUUCCCACGCUUUCCUUCCCUGCUCACUUACAGAAAAACCACGUCCAGAAACCUAUUGGCAUAUUGGCACAGCACUUGCACAAAAGACAACCCAAGGAUUUUCAGUUCCCUCCUCCUCAGCCCUUUUCUCUGUGAUUUGAUGAAGACAUCCUUCAGUAAUACAGGAGAGCAUCUGGGUAUCAAGACUUUAUAAAGCAGAAUAAACUGAAGGUGCUACAUUCACAGUGCAGCAUUAUACUGUAGCAUACAUUUGUAUUCAAUUUAUCAUAAGGUACAAAAUAUGUAUGCAUAUAUAUACACACACAGAUAUAUAGAUAUAUAAAACAGGCACUCAACUUACGAAUAACUUAAC